rnacentral:rRNA from 1 species
GAUGAACGCUGGCGGCGUGCCUAAUACAUGCAAGUCGAGCGAACGGACGACACGCUUGCUUUUCUGAUGUUAGCGGCAGACGGGUGAGUAACACGUGGAUAACCUACCUAUAAGACUGGGAUAACUUAGGGACACCGGCGCUACUACCGGAGAAUAUUUUGACCCGCAUGGUUCAAGGGUGAAAGACGGUCUUGCUGUCACUUAUAGAUGGAGCCGCGCUGCAUUAGCUAGUUGGUAAGGUAACGGCUUACCAAGGCAACGAUGCAUAGCCGACCUGAGAGGGUGAUCGGCCACACUGGAACUGAGACACGGUCCAGACUCCUACGGUAGGCAGCAGUAGGGAAGCUUCCGCAAUGGGCGAAAGCCUGACGGAGCAACGCCGCGUGAGUGAUGAAGGUCUUCGGAUCGUAAAACUCUGUUAUUAGGGAAGAACAUAUGUGUAAGUAACUGCGCACAUCUUGACGGUACCUAAUCAGAAAGCCACGGCUAACUACGUG